rnacentral:lncRNA from 1 species
AGGGCACAAAGCUGGGGUUCCCCUGUGAGCUUUGUGAAUGUCACUUACACAAAAAUUUCUGAUACGUCAUAUGCACUGAAUUUUGGAUUUGGAAUCAACAAUGUUACCAUGUCUGAGAAACUUGAACUCAGGGAUUCCACAUAUAAAUCAAUCCAGGACUCUAUAAAUAAUUUGCUGAAUGAGAUCCUAACUGAGCCCACUGCCACUCCAUUUGUGUUCAAAGAUGCCAAUUUCACGGGUAAUUCCACCACUAUUCAGGCUGAUGUACACUACGUUUUCUCAGAAAGCGACAUCCAGAAACCCAGUUCCUUUCUCUAUGCACUCAUUGUGGUUAAUAAUGAGACUAUUACCACAACUACACCUGCUGCAACAAGAACCACUUUGUAUUCCACAGUGCUGAGCACUACAAUCACAAAUAACAGCACUAGUGCAGCAUGGGUUGUGGCCAUCAUUGUCCCCUGUGCUAUUGCCAUCAUCCUCGUACCUUGCUGGAUUCUCCUUUGUUGUUUGCUCUGUGGUUGCUGUGCAGCAUUAAGAAGACGGUGGUCCAGAAGGCGGUCAUACAAUGUACAAUACACCACUCGAAACAGCCUUUUCUAGAGAACUCGAGACACAUCAGGAACAUUUUCUAACACUAAUGACUAAUUACUUAUAUUACUAAUCCAAAUUGUGAUGGUGGUACUUUAAAGUUUACAUUUAACUUUCCAUAAUGAUUAUGCUAUCUUAGA